CGGUAAAACGCGCUGGAGGACCGAACCCACGUAAGUUGAAAAUUGCGGGGAUGAGUUGUGGGUAGCGGUGAAAUUCCAAACGAACUUGGAGAUAGCUGGUUCUCUCCGAAAUAGCUUUAGGGCUAGCCUCGCAAAGAGGAUGCUGGAGGUAGAGCUCUGUUUGGACUAGGGGCCCGUCAAGGGUUACUGAAUUCAGAUAAACUGCGAAUUCCAGACAUUUAUGUGCGGGAGUCAGACUGCGAGUGAUAAGAUCCGUAGUCGAAAGGGAAACAGCCCAGAUCACCAGUUAAGGUCCCAAAAUUCAUGCUAAGUGGAAAAGGAUGUGGAGUUGCGCAGACAACUAGGACGUUGGCUCAGAAGCAGCCAUCAUUCAAAGAGUGCGUAAUAGCUCACUAGUCGAGUGACGCCGCGCCGAAAAUUUACCGGGGCUAAGCAUGAUACCGAAACUGUGGAUGUGCAUUUAUGCACGUGGUAGGAGAGCGUUCUAGCGGCGGUGAAGCAUGACCGAGAGGACAUGUGGAGCUUCUAGAAGUGAGAAUGCCGGUAUGAGUAACGAAAGACAGGUGAGAAUCCUGUCCGCCGCAAGACUAAGGUUUCCUGGGGCAGGCUCGUCCGCCCAGGGUAAGUCGGGACCUAAGGCGAGGCCGAGAGGCGUAGUCGAUGGACAACAGGUUGAAAUUCCUGUACUGCACCGAAUCGUUAUGAGCGAUGGAGGGACGCAGGAGGCUAGCAGCGCGUGGUGCUGGAUACCACGUUCAAGCGUCAAGUCUGAGAGUGAGUCAAAUGCUUGCUCUCAUAAGGACAAGGCGUGAUGAGGAGCGAAAUUAAAGUAGCGAAGGCUGCGACGUCACACUGCCGAGAAAAGCUUCUAGCCAGAGACGGUGCACCCGUACCGCAAACCGACACAGGUAGUCGAGGAGAGUAUCCUCAGGUGAGCGAGAGAACUCUCGUUAAGGAACUCGGCAAAAUGGCCCCGUAACUUCGGGAGAAGGGGCGCUGGUCGCAAGAUCAGCCGCAGUGAAAAGGCCCAAGCAACUGUUUAUCAAAAACACAGGCAUCUGCAAAAUCGUAAGAUGAAGUAUAGGUGCUGACACCUGCCCGGUGCUGGAAGGUUAAGAGGAGAGCUUAGCGCAAGCGAAGGUUUGAAUUGAAGCCCCAGUAAACGGCGGCCGUAACUAUAACGGUCCUAAGGUAGCGAAAUUCCUUGUCGGGUAAGUUCCGACCUGCACGAAAGGUGUAAUGAUUUGGGCACUGUCUCAACGAGAGACUCGGUGAAAUUAUAAUACCCGUGAAGAUGCGGGUUACCCGCGACAGGACGGAAAGACCCCAUGGAGCUUUACUGCAGUUUAAUAUUGGGUAUCUGUCAAGCAUGUACAGGAUAGGUAGGAGCCGGAGAAGAUAGGACGCCAGUCUUAUCAGAGGCGCUGUUGGGAUACUACCCUUGCUUGACGGAUGCUCUAACUCAGGCCUGUGAUCCAGGCCGAGGACAGUGUUUGACGGGCAGUUUGACUGGGGCGGUCGCCUCCUAAAGUGUAACGGAGGCGCCCAAAGGUUCCCUCAGAAUGGUUGGAAAUCAUUCGCAGAGUGUAAAGGUAAAAGGGAGCUUGACUGCGAGAGAGACAACUCGAGCAGGUACGAAAGUAGGGCUUAGUGAUCUGGUGGUACCGUAUGGAAGGGCCAUCACUCAACGGAUAAAAGCUACCCUGGGGAUAACAGGCUUAUCUCCCCCAAGAGUUCACAUCGACGGGGAGGUUUGGCACCUCGAUGUCGGCUCGUCGCAUCCUGGGGCUGAAGUCGGUCCCAAGGGUUGGGCUGUUCGCCCAUUAAAGCGGCACGCGAGCUGGGUUCAGAACGUCGUGAGACAGUUCGGUCCCUAUCCGUCGUGGGCGUAGGAAAUUUGAGAGGAGCUGUCCUUAGUACGAGAGGACCGGGAUGGACGCACCGCUGGUGUACCAGUUGUCUUGCCAAAGGCAUCGCUGGGUAGCUAUGUGCGGACGGGAUAAGCGCUGAAAGCAUCUAAGUGCGAAGCCCCCCUCAAGAUGAGAUUUCCCAUUUCUUCAAGAAAGUAAGACACCUCAGAGACGAUGAGGUAGAUAGGCCGGGAGUGGAAGAGCCGUGAGGCUUGGAGCGGACCGGUACUAAUCAGUCGAGGACUUGACCAAAA
rnacentral:rRNA from 1 species